CCCUUAGAUGUUCUGGGCCGCACGCGUGCUACACUGAGUGGAUCAGCGGGUCAGGUUGCGCGAAAGCGUUUCCUAAUCUUUAAAUCCGCUUGUGAUGGGGAUUGACGGUUGCAAUUUUCUGUCAUGAACGAGGAAUACCUUGUAAGCGCGGGUCAUCAUCCCGCGCUGAAUACGUCCCUGCCCUUUGUACACACCGCCCGUCGCUCCUACCGAUUGAGUGGUCCGGUGAGGCUUUGGGAUCUGAGCGGAAAGAGCGUUUCGCUGUUUCUGCUCGGAAAACUCAGUCGAACCUUAUCAUUUAGAGGAAGGAGAAGUCGUAACA
rnacentral:rRNA from 1 species